CGACCGCGACCCCAGGUCUGACGGGACUACCCGCUGAGUUUAAGCAUAUCAAUAAGCGGUGGAGA
rnacentral:misc_RNA from 1 species